AGAGUUUGAUCCUGGCUCAGAUUGAACGCUGGCGGCAUGCUUUACACAUGCAAGUCGAGCGGCAGCGCGGGGGCAACCCUGGCGGCGAGCGGCGAACGGGUGAGUAAUGCAUCGGAACGUGUCCUUGAGUGGGGGGUAACCCAGCGAAAGUUGGGCUAAUACCGCAUGAACUCUGAGGAGCAAAACGGGGGACCGUAAGGCCUCGCGCUUGGGGAGCGGCCGAUGUCCGAUUAGCUAGUUGGUGGGGUAAAGGCUUGCCAAGGCGACGAUCGGUAGCUGGUCUGAGAGGAUGAUCAGCCACACUGGGACUGAGACACGGCCCAGACUCCUACGGGAGGCAGCAGUGGGGAAUUUUGGACAAUGGGGGCAACCCUGAUCCAGCCAUGCCGCGUGAGUGAAGAAGGCCUUCGGGUUGUAAAGCUCUUUCGGACGGAACGAAAUUGCCUUGGAUAACACCUGAGGUAGAUGACGGUACCGUAAGAAGAAGCACCGGCUAACUACGUGCCAGCAGCCGCGAUAAUACGUAGGGUGCGAGCGUUAAUCGGAAUUACUGGGCGUAAAGCGUGCGCAGGCGGUUUCGUAAGCUGGAGGUGAAAUCCCCGGGCUCAACCUGGGAAUGGCCUUCAGGACUGCGAGGCUGGAGUACGGCAGAGGGAGGUGGAAUUCCGCGUGUAGCAGUGAAAUGCGUAGAUAUGCGGAGGAACACCGAUGGCGAAGGCAGCCUCCUGGGCCGAUACUGACGCUCAUGCACGAAAGCGUGGGGAGCAAACAGGAUUAGAUACCCUGGUAGUCCACGCCCUAAACGAUGUCGACUAGGUGUUGGGGAAGGAGACUUUCUUGGUACCGCAGCUAACGCGUGAAGUCGACCGCCUGGGGAGUACGGCCGCAAGGUUAAAACUCAAAGGAAUUGACGGGGACCCGCACAAGCGGUGGAUGAUGUGGAUUAAUUCGAUGCAACGCGAAAAACCUUACCUACCCUUGACAUGCCCGGAACCCUGGUGAGAGCUGGGGGUGCCCGAAAGGGAGCCGGGGCACAGGUGCUGCAUGGCUGUCGUCAGCUCGUGUCGUGAUGUUGGGUUAAGUCCCGCAACGAGCGCAACCCUUGCCGCUAAUUGCCAUCAUUUAGUUGGGCACUUUAGCGGGACUGCCGGUGACAAACCGGAGGAAGGUGGGGAUGACGUCAAGUCCUCAUGGCCCUUAUGGGUAGGGCUUCACACGUCAUACAAUGGCGCAUACAAAGGGCUGCGAACCCGCGAGGGGGAGCCAAUCCCAGAAAGUGCGUCGUAGUCCGGAUUGCAGUCUGCAACUCGACUGCAUGAAGUCGGAAUCGCUAGUAAUCGCGGAUCAGCAUGUCGCGGUGAAUACGUUCCCGGGUCUUGUACACACCGCCCGUCACACCAUGGGAGUGGGGUUCACCAGAAGCAGGUAGCCUAACCGCAAGGAGGGCGCCUACCACGGUGAGCUUCAUGACUGGGGUGAAGUCGUAACAAGGUAACC
rnacentral:rRNA from 1 species